GACGAACGCUGGCGGCGUGCUUAACACAUGCAAGUCGAACGGAAAGGCCCCUUUGGUGGUACUCGAGUGGCGAACGGGUGAGUAACACGUGAGUAACCUGCCCUUGACUUCGGGAUAACUUCAGUAAACUGGGGCUAAUACCUGAUAGGAAUCCUUGCUGCAUGGUGGGGGUGGGAAAGCUUCGUGGGUUUUGGAUGGACUCACGGCUUAUCAGCUUGUUGGUGGGUGGGUGGGUUACCAACGCUUUGUCGGGUAGCCGGCCUGAGAGGGGGAACGGCCACAUUGGGAAUGAGAUAAGGCCCCGAAUCCGACGGGGGGCAGCAGUGGGGAAUAUUGCAAAAUGGGCGGAAGCCUGAUGCAGCAACGCCGCGUGCGGGAUGACGGCCUUCGGGUUGUAAACCGCUUUCAGCAGGGGCGGAGCUUGUGGUGACGGUACCUGCAGAAGAAGCACCGGCUAACUACGUG
rnacentral:rRNA from 1 species